AUCGGAUGACUCUGAAAAAUCGGAAGAAAUUAAACGUAAUGGUGACGAUACUGGUCUCGUACAGUUGGCGGUACUUUUGUAUACGUAUACAAAAAAAACCCUAUAAAGUUAUGGUUAAAAUAAAAUUAUAUUAUUAAAUUGGCAAUUUCGCUUACCUCAAUUCAGAGGGUUUCACACGUAAUUUGGAUGCAGCGCAAAGAAACGGAUGUCGUACAACUGAAUAAUCCCCAAAAUGGGCAAUGGAAUAAAUUUGCUUCAAAACAGCAAUCCAAAAAACGUAAAGCAACACUCUACUGCAG